rnacentral:lncRNA from 1 species
GAUGACCCAGUCUCCAUCUUCCGUGUCUGCAUCUGUAGGAGACAGAGUCACCAUCACUUGUCGGGCGAGUCAGGGUAUUAGCAGCUGGUUAGCCUGGUAUCAGCAGAAACCAGGGAAAGCCCCUAAGCUCCUGAUCUAUGCUGCAUCCAGUUUGCAAAGUGGGGUCCCAUCAAGGUUCAGCGGCAGUGGAUCUGGGACAGAUUUCACUCUCACCAUCAGCAGCCUGCAGCCUGAAGAUUUUGCAACUUACUAUUGUCAACAGGCU